CCCUUAGAUGUUCUGGGCCGCACGCGCGCUACACUGACGGAGUCAACGAGUUGUCCUGCAUCGGAAGGUGUGGGUAAUCUUUUGAAACUUCGUCGUGCUGGGGAUAGGUCUUUGCAAUUUUCGAUCUUGAACGAGGAAUUCCUAGUAAGCGUGAUUCAUCAGAUCGCGUUGAUUACGUCCCUGCCCUUUGUACACACCGCCCGUCGCUACUACCGAUUGAAUGGUUUAGUGAGGCCUCGGGACUGGCGCGCUCGAGUAGCAAUACACCUGCGCGCCGGGAACUUGGUCAAACUUGAUCAUUUAGAGGAAGUAAAAGUCGUAACA
rnacentral:rRNA from 1 species